rnacentral:SRP_RNA from 1 species
GCUGGGUGUGGUGGCUCACGCCUGUAAUCCCAGCUACUCAGGAGGCUGAGGCAGGAGAAUUGCUUGAACCCAGGAGGUGGAGGUUGCAGUGAGCUGAGAUUGCGCCACUGCACUCCAGCCUGGGUGACACAGCAAGACUUGGUCUCAA